rnacentral:lncRNA from 1 species
ACAACAACAACAACAACAACAAACCCAGUGUAUUCCCACCUGGUGGGGUCUGGGGGGGGUAGGAUGUACGCAGUCCAUACCUCUACCUCUGAAGAAGUAGAAAGGCUGUUUCCGAUAGACCCCCGGCUCAAGACACGCGGUACCACACAAACACAUAGUAAAGCACAACACAAGGUUACAAGAUUACAUAACAUAAAUACGGCACCCAUAAGUAAUCUAAAACAAAGGAAAACACACAGAUCCAUAAUAAAACAUGGGACGCGGGCUCCUAACAUGCAUAAACCCCCACCAAGUAGUUCCCUACACUAGCGACUCAGGCUGGCCCUAGUCCUCUGCCCUGAUUCGCGUCCUCCAGACCUUCCUAU